UACGGAGGAUGCAAGCUUUAUCCGGAAUUAUUGGGCGUAAAGCGUCCGCAGGUGGCACUUCAAGUCUGCUGUCAAAGACCGGGGCUUAACCCUGGAAAGGCAGUGGAAACUGAAGCGCUAGAGUGUGGCAGGGGUAGAGGGAAUUCCCGGUGUAGCGGUGAAAUGCGUAGAGAUCGGGAAGAACAUCGGUGGCGAAAGCGCUCUACUGGGCCAUAACUGACACUCAGGGACGAAAGCUAGGGGAGCGAAUGGG
rnacentral:rRNA from 1 species